UGUGAACUCCCUCCGUUCCAAAAUACUUGACUUCCAUUUGUCCAAAAAUGGAUGUACCUAUAUACUAAAACAUGUCUAGAUACAUAUAUAUUUUGACAAAUAGAAGGCAUGUAUUGUGCAACGGAGGGAGUAGAAU
rnacentral:pre_miRNA from 1 species